GUAUGGUCUAGUGAUUAGACCCAUUGGCGCCGCCACGAGUUUUUUCCGCGACUUUGCGGUAUCGUAAUGUAAAGGUGAAUUCGGUGGAUUUACCGGGCGCGUGAUCAUUAUAGUUUACUCGUGUUUUGUUUCAUUCAAACGAUUGAAGUUGGUUGAAUAUAACAGUUAUAAUCCAAUCCUUGAUGUCUGCCCAGACGGCGUUUGUUGUAUCCCGAGGAAUGUUUCAAUAAUGGCUCGCCCUGUAGGCCAAUCGGUUCUAACGGAUAACGGAUUUAUUACACGGACUUGCAUCUGUCGUGCCCCGAUGAAUACGCUGGAAAUUGCUGAUGAUUUUAGUUUUAUUACAAGGAUGGUAACUGUUGUGCUCUGAUGACCGCGCUGGAGAUUGUUGAUAGUUUUAGUUUUAAUGCGCGGAAGGAGUAUGUUGUAUCCUGAGGAAUGCUUCAAUUAUGGCUCGGCCUAUGGACCAAUUGGGGUUCUAAUGGAUAACGGAUUUAUUACAAGGACUGUGCUACCAUUGUGGUUCCAGUAUAACGACUAAGCUAGAGAUUCAUGGCAGUCAUCGUUAUUGGAUUUAUUGCACCGAUGGCGUUUGUCGUGUGCCCGGAGGACUGCUUCGAUAAUGAGAGUGCUGGCUCUAACGAUCUAACAAACGGAUUUAUUAACACGGUUUUUAGACGGCGUUUGUUGCGUCCCAAGGUGGUAUGCUUCCAUAACGGCUCGGCCUGUUGGCCAAAAGUGCUGGUUCUAAUGGAUAACGGAUUUAUUACACGGACUGCAUCUGUUGUGCCCGAAUGAAUAUUCUGAAAAUCGAUGCUAUUGGUUUAAGAUUUAUUACAAGGAUUAUAUCUGUUGUUCCCGUAUGAAUACGUUGGACACUGCUUGCUGUUGUCACUAUUGGAUUUAUAAUAACAAGGACUGCAACACUGUUGUGCCAGGAUAACUAAGUUAGAGAUCUAACUAAGUCAUCGCUAUUGGAUUUAUUGCACGGUCUGUGCAUCUGUUUUGCCUGAUUGACUGUGAUUGAGUUGCAACCAACCGACCCGAAGAGUGCUGGCUCUAAUUCAUAAUGGUUGUAUUACACAGAUUGUGCACGGUCUUUGGUAAAGCUACAAAAUUUUCACUUCUGUUGUUGUACUCACGACGUGUUGAUAAUUCUGUGCUGUUGGUUUACUUUUAUGCCUAUGCUUGCCCUCCCUCACUGUUCCUCCAAAACGAUCGCGUGUCAAACCUCGAUUCCAUUAGAUAUUGUCAUUCGACAACACGGAGGAUCAUCACGAUUACAACGUGCAAUUCGCUCUUGGAGUUCAUUGACAACGAUUAUUACUUAUUUAAAUUACAACGUAAUUCCUUUACCGCUAUUAUUGUAUCGGUUUACGUUUGAGUCUCUCAUUAAACCGUAUUUUUCUAAUAAUAAUUAUAUCUAUAUGUACUUGGAGUAUAUUACUUCAAUAACGACUAAAUUUUUUUAUGUGUGUGUGUGAUCAAGACAAUAAUAAAACAUUAAUUAA